AUCUGGGCGGCGGAAUUCAGGAUGGCUGCGGGCGCUCGUUCGUGCGCGGCCGUUUGAUAUUUCCGUCGCCGUGUCGGACGUCGCGACCUGUUCGCCUGUCGGUCCCUGCUCGGAGGAAUCGCGAUCGAGCUCGUUGCGCGGCACGUUUCGGCGUGUCGCGCGGCGAAGACGCGACUCUCUGGCUGACGGCGGACAGUAAGCAACGGUGUCCGGCGUCGUGUCUCGCACUCGACGUCGGUGCCGGUCUGCGACGAUUUCUUCGGGCCUCUUUCCGACCCGUCUUGAAACACGGACCAAGGAGUCUAACAUGCGCGCGAGUCGCGGGGCAUCGAGCGUUACCACGGUGCGCUCGUCAUGUGCGAAACCCGUCUCUGAAAGGCGUAAUGAAAGUGAACAGGGAAGAUGGCGUUCCGAGACCACGUACCGUGAUCGAGUGUCGCGGCCGGACGUCCGCACUCCCGGGGCGUCUCAAUGGCUCGUCGCGGACGCGGACGAUCGUCUCUCCGGGGGCGGUCGUCGGUCUGCGUCGGACCGA
rnacentral:rRNA from 1 species